rnacentral:sRNA from 1 species
GUGAGGACGAUCUGACUGCCACAUCUGCCACCCCACUGAUUGCCAGGGUUGAUUUGCUUGAUCUGACCAGAUAGGUCGGUGUCUCCUUCCUCUGUCACC